rnacentral:rRNA from 1 species
AGAGUUUGAUCCUGGCUCAGAUUGAACGCUGGCGGAAUGCUUUACACAUGCAAGUCGAGCGGCAGCGCGGGGCAACCUGGCGGCGAGCGGCGAACGGGUGAGUAAUGCAUCGGAACAUGUCCAUGUCGUGGGGGAUAGCCCGGCGAAAGCCGGAUUAAUACCGCAUACGCCCGAGAGGGGAAAGUGGGGGACCGCAAGGCCUCACGCGAUUGGGUUGGCUGAUGUCCGAUUAGCUAGUUGGUGGGGUAAAGGCUUACCAAGGCGAUGAUCGGUAGCUGGUCUGAGAGGAUGAUCAGCCACACUGGGACUGAGACACGGCCCAGACUCCUACGGGAGGCAGCAGUAGGGAAUCUUCCGCAAUGGACGAAAGUCUGACGGAGCAACGCCGCGUGAGCGAUGAAGGCCUUCGGGUCGUAAAGCUCUGUUGUUAGGGAAGAACAAGUGCUAGUUGAAUAAGCUGGCACCUUGACGGUACCUAACCAGAAAGCCACGGCUAACUACGUGCCAGCAGCCGCGGUAAUACGGGGGGAGCAAGCGUUGUUCGGAUUUACUGGGCGUAAAGGGCGCGUAGGCGGC